rnacentral:rRNA from 1 species
AGUGAACGCUGGCGGCAGGCCUAACACAUGCAAGUCGAACGGCAGCACAAGAGAGCUUGCUCUCUGGGUGGCGAGUGGCGGACGGGUGAGGAAUGCAUCGGAAUCUGCCCAUUUGUGGGGGAUAACCUCGGGAAACCGGGACUAAUACCGCAUACGACCUACGGGUGAAAGCAGGGGAUCUUCGGACCUUGCGCAGAUGGAUGAGCCGAUGCCGGAUUAGCUAGUUGGAGGGGUAAAGGCCCACCAAGGCGACGAUCCGUAGCUGGUCUGAGAGGAUGAUCAGCCACACUGGGACUGAGACACUGCCCAGACUCCUACGGGAGGCAGCAGUGGGGAAUAUUGGACAAUGGGCGCAAGCCUGAUCCAGCCAUGCCGCGUGUGUGAAGAAGGCCUUCGGGUUGUAAAGCACUUUUGUUGGGAAAGAAAAGCAGCCGGUUAAUACCCGGUUGUCAUGACGGUACCCAAAGAAUAAGCACCGGCUAACUUCGUG